GUGUUUACAAUUCAGUGAGAAUUAUACUAAGAAGCACUAAGAUAAUGUGAUCCAGGCAUAUGUCUUUCUGGUGGUCCAAGCAAGAAGUGAAUGCAAAUGAGAAAAUACUGAUUGUAGUAGAUAAAGAAUGGAAAGUAUUUCCCUUAAACAACUUUCCAUCUGCUGAAAUUUUAAGAGUGAGUGAUUUGAUGUGGCUUAGUAAUGUCAGUGUUCUACAGUGCUAAGAAUAAAAUUAGAUUCUUUAGAGACUGAGAUGACAUUAGGAAAGUCAAGAAAUAUAUCUAUUGUUCUGUCUUCAUUAAAUAUCUUCUACCUCUAUGUAUGUGGUUCAAGAGAAUCCCAAAAUUGUGUUUAAUAAAGGUUUUACAAAUAGCUUUUCUACAUUCCUUUAUCUGUUAUUACAUUUGAUUGGUUUUUAAUUGUUUUUGAUUGUCUCCCUUUCCCCUUCUUGGAGCAUCUCUCGCUGUACUCUCUCCCUGACUCUCGGUGAUUACCCAGGUCCUACUUCCUUAGUAGAUGAGGCCUGUGUUCUUUAGUUCAUCAAUUGCUUACACUUCUAACUAUAACCUUAUCUGAUUCUCAACUAUCUCUGUCUCCUUGCCUUUAAUCACAAAUGGUGCAGGGUACUUCUCUUUCUUCAGGUCAAACCAGGUCAACUCAGGGCAAUCUCCUGUGAUCCUGACUUCCAUCUCUUAAGAGACUGUGAGCUCUUCAAGCAGAGGGAGCAGUGUGUCACCCAGAAAAGCUUCAGCCACACACAUACUUGAGCACUGGAUUCUAUGAGACAGACAGAUGCUUGGAUUUCGGUGAAAAGUAUCCUUGACAUAAGCUGAGAGCAGAGGCGCAAAAAUGCUAGCGAAAAUGGAAAGGACAGUCACAUACACAGUGAAAUUUGAGAGACUGAGUCAAACAUAUCUCAAUCAAAAUCUGCUUCCUAAUCAGUUCUAUUAAUGCACUGAAGAUUCCUUGGAAAAAAGAAAAUAUUGUUUAGAGGAAGAGAAGGCCACCCUAGAGCAUUACGACUCAUGAAAAUCUUCAAAUGGAUUAGUCAGUAGGAAGCAGUGAGUAUGAUGACUAGCAAAUUAAACUUUGGAGUCAUGCUGUGGACUCAAUUCCUGACUUUCACAUAUUAACUGUGUGACUUUAUUCAAGUGAUAUAAUACCUUGAACACUCACACUCUUUACCUUAAAAGUGGGGAUAAUAAUAUCAACAUCAUAGUACAGUCAUAAGUAUUAAAUACCAUAAAAGGGCUUAGCAUAAAUCAU
rnacentral:lncRNA from 1 species